rnacentral:rRNA from 1 species
UAUUGUGAUGCGUCUGGUCAGAAAGUUAACUUGGCAAAAUCAUCUAUUUUCUUUGGGAAAGGUUGUCUGGAGCACCAAAGAAAUAUCAUAAAAAACAUUCUUACAGUCUUCAAUGAAUCUUUGAAUGAACGGUAUCUCGGGCUACCAUCAGAUGUGGGGAAGUGCAAGAAGGGUUCAUUCAAAUAUAUUAAAGAUAGGUUAUGGUCAAAAGUUCAGGGCUAUAUUGAACAUUGUAUGGCAUCAUCAGGGAAGGAGAUAUUGAUCACAUCGAUCACGAAGGCGAUCCCAACUUUCUCCAUGCCAUGCUUUCUUCUCCCCCGAGAUCUGUGCAAGCAAGUGGAUACGAUGCUUCGGAAAAAAAAUUGGGGCCGCAGGAAGACCGUGUGA